rnacentral:rRNA from 1 species
UACGGAAGGCAGCAGUGGGGAAUAUUGCACAAUGGGCGCAAGCCUGAUGCAGCCAUGCCGCGUGUAUGAAGAAGGCCUUCGGGUUGUAAAGUACUUUCAGUCGUGAGGAAGGUGUUAAGGUUAAUAACCUUAGCAAUUGACGUUAGCGACAGAAGAAGCACCGGCUAACUCCGUGCCAGCAGCCGCGGUAAUACGGAGGGUGCGAGCGUUAAUCGGAAUUACUGGGCGUAAAGGGCACGCAGGCGGUUAAUUAAGUUGGAUGUGAAAUCCCCGGGCUUAACCUGGGAAUGGCAUUCAAGACUGGUUAGCUAGAGUCUUGUAGAGGGGGUAGAAUUCCAUGUGUAGCGGUGAAAUGCGUAGAGAUGUGGAGGAAUACCGGUGGCGAAGGCGGCCCCGGACAAAGGACUGACGCUCAUGUGCGAAAGCGUGGGGAGCAAACAGGGAUUAGAUACC